GGUUGACAAUUGUGGCGGACAGUGGUGGUUUGGUUUUCAGUGCAAACAUUAAUGGUUUUUAAUAGUUAUUUGUUUUGUUUUUACUUUUUAUAAUUUUUUUGGAGUUGUUUUUUUUUAAUUUUUGGUUGGUUUUGCAGCUACUUUUUAUAUUUGGUUGGUUUUGCAUCUACUGGUGUUCCUCUGCCUUCUGCAGGUAAACUUUUACUCAAAACGGGUAUAUCAUAAUAAUCUUGUGUAGAAUGGGUGCGUUGUGAAUAUUGAUUGCAAGUUUAUGCUUUUGAAUAUUAAUUCAAGUUUAAUCCCAAAAUUUCAGUUACAUAUUCAACUUAAUUUGAAACUAAUCAUUAGACAUGAGGAUCUUGAUUUGCUUAUUUGUUAUUAUUUGUUUUAACUAUUAUUUUUCUUGAUGAUGUAGGUGGAAGAAAAUAAUGAAAUCAAUGGUUGUUUCAAGAUGGGGGCAAUAAAAAAGAAGUUAAGAAAAGUGUCGCUGAGAUUUCUUCAAAGUAAGUGGUGAUUGCGGGUUGUAAUGGGUCAGUAUGCAACUCCACUAGAUUCAACACUUUGACAUCUUCAAGAACCGGUGAAACAUUGGAGGUAGCACUCUACUUUAAAAUCAUCAAAACUUUACUAGAAGAUGAUAUCAGCUUGAAGGUAUACAAAUCGUUACAAGCGGACCCGACAUCCAUCUCAGAUGUGGAUCCAAAGCUUUAAGAAUUGUCAAAGCAAUUUAAUAUAUAAAGCUAACUCUACUUCAGGUAGAUGAGUAAAGUAAAUUAUGAUUAGUCGGUUAUAAAAACAAUACUAUCACGUUAAAGAUCCAAAGCUUUAAUGAUAUUAUG